AGAGGCAGAACUGAAUCUUGAACCCUAGUCUCUAAGAUUCCAACAGCACUGUUUUCUUUUUUUUACCCUCUCAACAGGUCUAAGUUCAAGGAAAGCAGAGGACUGGGAACUUCAAAACCUUAGGCGAGGUCUUUGAACUCCCACGGGUUUUAAACACAGUUGGCUCCAAAGACAGGCAGGAAUUCUCAAGGAGGGGUGAGAAAAGGAGGGCAGGGAGAGGGGAAGAGGAAGAGAGAAGCAGGCCCAGGUGGUCAAGCUGAACUGCCAGGGUAAUAGUGCUGAGGUGUGCCCACCGGCACACCUAGUCAGCAAGACAGAGCAUGCAGGGAAAAGCUGUAUUUUGGUUCAAGGCAGGAGUAGUCAAGACUUCUUUGGGAGAUUUAUUGGAGUCUUUGCUUCAAACCACUGCAACCUGGCUGUGCAGACAUCUCUGUGAGACAGGCAGAACUGCAUUGCCAGGAGAGGCUGAGCCUGGGAUUGGAGGAACUAAGGCCUUUCUGCUCCUGUGUGGGCAAUGGGAUCAGACAGGAUCAGAGUCUGGGCUUGUCUGCUCUGGUCCUGCCCUGUGGGUUCUCCACUGAAGCUGAAUGUACUGCACUGACGUCCCAGGGUGCUGGAAGAAGAGGGGUCAGUAACUUGAUGGAAGCCCAGGUCUCGGAAGGCUUGUGAAGUCCAUGAUGAUCACAGGAGGGGCAAAGAGAGAAGUUGCAGAUUUGGCUGUGGUGACCUUCCAAGGCCUGGGAGUCAGAGAGUGACUGCUUCUUCUGAAGAUGAAGGGAAGCCGUAGACUCAUUCAGAUAAGACAGGGUCUCCUCUCUCUGACCCUCGGGCCCCAGUGUGAUCUAUGCCCUCUGGAGUCAAACUCUUAAUUGACUGCUUUGUGUCCUGGGAAGGCGUUGACCUCUUUUCCCUCAGAAGGAUCUGAGCAGCUGUCUCUGAGGCAUUUUUUUCCCCUUAGCUCCUCCUCCUCCCUUGAGGAGUUAGCAUAAACAGCAUCAUCUUGGAGGCCUUCCUUGAUGACUUACUUAGAGACAGGAAUCCUGGUGAUUCCUGUUAGAGGCACCUGCUAAUUGCCAUCACUGCAUUUCCCGUAAGCGGUCCUGAUUCUCUGUGUGCUGUGUGUUUGGCUGUUUGUUUGUUUGUUUGUUUGUUUGUUUUCCCACUGGAGUGUAAAAAGUCAGGAAGUGUUCAAAAACAUUUCUUAAAUAAAGCAAUCUGGUCAACUUUCCUCUUUGGAGUGUGUGUGU